rnacentral:rRNA from 1 species
UAACACGUGAGCAACCUGCCUUUCANAGGGGGAGUAACAGUUGGAAACGACUGCUAAUACCGCAUAACGCUGCGAUGGGGCAUCCCGAUGCAGCCAAAGGAGCAAUCCGCUGGAAGAUGGGCUCGCGGCCGAUUAGCUAGUUGGUGGGGCAACGGCCCACCAAGGCGACGAUCGGUAGCCGGACUGAGAGGUUGAUCGGCCACAUUGGGACUGAGACACGGCCCAGACUCCUACGGGAGGCAGCAG